rnacentral:misc_RNA from 1 species
UCGGGCCCAUACCCCGA